CAAGUUUAAGAGUAAAGAGAAGAGAAAAAAGAUACAAAUCAUUUAUAAAGUUUUGGCCCUCUUCAUAGGUGCCUAUGUCUUUUCCCUUGGCUCACCAAGGAGUUUGUAAUCCACUAUGAAAAAUACUGUGUAAGGAUCAAGUAUAAUCUUUACAACAAUACCUUUUCAUGAGAACAAGCAUAACCCACAGAAUACCUUUUCACAAGAGCAAGGAUAACCCCUUGCCUUUUCAAGGAUUAAGCGUAACCUCUUUCUUCUUAAAGGAUUAAGUGUAACUUCUUGCUUUCUCAAGGAUUAGGCUUAACUUUUCUUUCUUACAAGGUCAAAGCAAUGAUACCUUUAGAAGGUGGAUUUUGCUUAGUAAGUACAAUGGAGGAAGAGUUUGGAAAAGCUAAAAAUGAUUUCAAAAGAUAUGAGUGAUAGCACAAGGAAUUUGAAGUUCAAAAGUAGCUCACAAGCUUUUUUGAAGAAUAUGAAUGCCUUGCUCUAACUUGGUUUGUCACGACCCGGAACUCCCAUCGAGCCCGUGACAACCGCCGCGAAGCCUCGAUAGACAUUCUUCACCCCAAAUGCCGAUCGAAACCUCCCAAAGCUCUCAUAUCAGCUUUCGCACUUCCCUGUGAGUAAUAGUUAUCAAAUAUCAUAAUUCGAAGGAUUACGAGUCAUUUCCAAAUCAAAACAUAAAAUAUUGUUUUCUAGCUCACAGGGGCAUUUUCGUCAUUUUUCGUCGAAAAUCUCAAAACUUGCUAAAAAUAUAGUAGGUAAGUAGAAAAUAUAUAUUUAGUGAUUUAAAAACAAAUUAAGUAUCUAAAACGUUCAUUUGAAGUGAAAAUUUGACCAUUUGAAUAUAAUAGAAAUAUUCAAUAAAAUAAACUAUUUUCUUGUAAAAUAAUUUUUUAUAAAGCUAUCGGUAAAUAAUUCUUAUAGCAUAAAAGUUAAUUAUAUUUAUAUAUACUAUAAAGCAAACAACCAAAGCAUAAAAUUACUUUUACAGUGACACGUGGGCCCAUAUCUAACCAAAAUGCAUCGGAAGCUGAAAACCUACAGCUUUUGCCGAUUCAAGUCCAAAUGAAGGUCCUUGUCAAAGUCAGCUAACUAUGGAAUUCCCCGAGCUUGAAAUGUGAGGAAAUGAGGGUGGUGAGAUUAUAAAAUCCCAGUGAGUAAAUAGACACCAUCUAAACUAUCUAAAGGCGAGUAAAUGGAGACGAAUUAAAAUAUUCUUUUCCAAUAUAUGUUUCAUAACAUGAAUAUUCAAUUUACUCAAUUAAUCAACAUGGCUUAUAUAUCUCACAAAACUUGGCUCCUACUAAAAUCAUUCCCGGGGAUGCCUUGGCCUAGGCAUCUAACCGAGACCCCCAAGGCAGUUAAAUGUCUUUACAUCCAAAAUUCUAGCCAUGCCUUGGCGUUGGCUGAGUCUCACUCUCACGCGGUGGUCCACGUGAAGUGCACUCAAAUCUUUACCUCUAAAGAUACCCUUCACAUGGCUCUCUGAUCAAGGUAAGGUAUAUCUGAUUUUGUGCCCCCUCUCUUAGGUUGGUCCACAAAACCUCCAUUACAGGGAUUAUGGAUUAUUUUAUCUACAACCUGAUUUAUAAAAUCGUUUUCUGUGACAUGACAAUUUAUCGCAACCUAGCCUCUUAAGGCUGAAUACAUAGUACAAAUAAUUCUAACACCAAAAUCAGUUUAGCCAUUCAUGCUCAUAUAUUGUCAUAAGCCAUUCAAUUUAAAACCAUAAAUUUAUAACAUAAGCAGGCAGUCUCCAAUUACUCUAUUUUCAAAACCAGUAUUCAAUUUUUCAGAAAAUUUAUAAAAUCAUUUUAUAAAAUCACAAUUUCUCCUAAAACAUAGCAAUUUACCAUUUAAACCCAUUUUCUAUAUGAUCACACAAUUGUAUAAAACUACUCUAGAUAAUUAAGACGAUAAUAAGUUUACUCACAGUUCUAGGAGUCGAUGUACUCCUAAUCCCAGUCUUCAAGCACAAUCUCUGUACUUUUACUAGUGUAAUUUGCUCACCACCUAUCCACAAUGUACAAUACAUAAUUCACCACAAUAAUGCUUGACCAUUAUAAAUCAAUUCAUGCUCGGUGUAUAUGCAUGAUAUAAUAUGCAACUUAUCUGACUACCGCUUAAAUGCGGUGCUGACCUAAUUCGGCCUAUUACCCGAUUAAAUGACAAUUGUGUUCGAUUUGGCUCCAAAUUGCUCCUUUUCAUUUCUAAUAUUUCAAUUUACCAAAUACAAUUCCAAUAAUCUAAAAUUCAGCCUAACAACCCUCAUAAUUCUUCUUGAAAAUUUUGACCAUUGUGGUGCACUAUCACUAAAAAUUUUCCCCAUUUUCUCACCAUAAAUCAUCAUUUCAUCAAUUUUUCAACAAAUUCACUUGAUCACAAAAUCAACUCAUUACUUCUACACUUCACAUAGGGUUCGGCCAUUGAAGGUUCAUGGGGAAAAUGGAUUCUUUUCUUGUUGUUUUGUUUCUAAAUAUGCUAAACUAACUAAAAACACUAACAUAUCUUAAAAUCAAUUCAAUCCAACAUCUUUCUCUCUCCAUACCCAUUUUGACCAACCAAGAAUUCAUCAUGAAAACAUGUAAUUUAACCAUGGAAAAUAAGGAGAAAUGCUUAAGGAAAAUGAUUUCAAGUUUAAAAUAAAAAAUCCUACCUUUUUCACUUGUUUUCCUUGAUUUUCCACACUUUUUCUCUUGAAAUUCUUCACCUAGGGUUUGUUCUUUCUUUCUUUCCCUCUCUUCCUUUCUUGGCCGAAUAUUUGGAGAGAAAAUGGGCUGAUUUAUGCUGAUUUUUAAGUUAAAUAAUAAAAUAUCCUAAGCUUGACACUUGUCAUUUUUUUAUUGGUCUAAAUUUUAAAUAUUUGACUUUUAAUUAUUUAAUUCUCCACCACACAUUUCUCAUGUUUAUCCAUUUCCAUGAUGAAUAAAAUCCCUUGGUCUUGACAAGUGUCGGGGGUGAAAAUUUACUGAUUUGCCCUCGAGGUGGUAAAAUUACCAUUUCGCCCCUAUACUCCAAAUUGUAUCGAAAAUUAAAAUUUUUCACUUCUAAACCUCAAAUCAUACUCCAAUUAGUCAAAUGGGGCCAAAAAUCCUUUCUAAAAUUCCCAUUUUGUCCCCAAGUGGCAAAUGACCAUUUUACCCCUAAAUAGUGAAAAUUUCGAUUUGACUCCAAAUUGAUCCUUAAACUCCGAAUUACCAUUUUGAGUCAUCCCUGGACCGUGAAACUCUCAAUUUCACCUUAAAAUUCCUAUUUGAUCUAGUUGAAGGCUUAAAUCAACUUUGUUGUACCUCUAUGUACAAUACAGACUUUUGUAAAUUUUUCGAGACUUUCCUAGCAUGCAAACAUGUUAUCCAUCACAUGUAUGUCAUGACAAAUAUUUUAUAAGGUCAGGUUUUACAUGGUUUUUCUCUUUUUUUCUUUGUUUCAUCAUCUUGAUUGAUUCUUGAUUGAAUGAUAUUUCUCUCUACUCUUCUCCUUUCCAAAAUGUGUUAAAGAAGUCCUUUUUACAAUUGGAAAAGCUUUGAAGCCAAUAGGGAUGAUAUGAUGGAGAAACUAGCUAUUUUUCUUGUCUUUUUCAUCUCUAAUGGCUACUUUUGGAGUCAAAGAAUCGGUUCUUUAUUCUUUAGAUAUCGAUUCUUCUUUGUUUUGGAACUUUUUCCUUUGUUAGAAUCGAUUCUUGCCUCUCCAGAUAUUAGUUUUUCUUGUUUGAGAAGAUAUUCUUACUUCUCCAGACAUCAAUUAGUCUUGCUUCAAGAAUCAACAUCUACCUUUCCAAGAAUUGAUUCUUUGUCCACCCAAACUUGCAAGAAUCAACUUCUUGACUAUUGAAAUCAAUUCUUGAGCUUCCUUUCACAAAACAACUUCAAAUACAAGUUCAAAUGUCAAUCAAGUAAAGAAACAUAAAAACACAUCAAAAGCAUUUAAAAAACACUCAAGUUAUUCAAGGAUCACUUAGACAACAAAUUUUGAUUAUUUUUGUAAUGUCAAAACUCUAAUCAUUUUCAAGCUAUUAAAGCUAACAAUCUCUCAGUGAAAAAGGGAGUAGCCUCAAUUAAAUAGCAUCACCCGUCACCCCAUUGCUCUUGAAUGUUUCACAUAUCUCCAAGAAAUACCGAAGAUGUGCAUUUGGAUCAUCAUGAGAUAGCCUUCCAAAUUAUACUGAGUUUUGGACCAUUUGGAUUAUGGCUGGCUUGAUCUCGAAAUUAUUUGCUUGUAUGGUAAGGUUUCAAUUGCUUGUCUGCAUUCCUUCUACAUAAGGCAUAGCGUUGUCUCUUAAUGCUCUUGAUGCCUCUUGCAUUUGGUUGUUCUUCAUUGUGAGUUGUCUUUCUUUUCUCUUAUAAGACUUCUCCAUAUUCUCUUGAUUUCUGGGUUGAAAGGAAAUUCAACUACUUUCUCUUUUUGUAUGCACCAACAUGGUACUUAUCAAAACAAGAAAACAAAGUAUUAUUUACAAAAAUUAAAAAGUAAGAAUAAAAUUGAAAGAAAAGAAGAAAACUGAUCUAACAUUUAGAAAACUUAGUCAAUAUCAAUUCCAAGCCUUGGGAGAUGUUAAAUUUUCACACAAGUACACAUUAUCAUAAAUAAGUAAUAUAAUAGAAGUAGAGUAUCGUUCCCACAGGAAUUUGUUUCUUAAUUUUUACUAAGUACUAAAAUUUUAUAACAAAUUAAUCUUAUUUAAGUAAUCAAAAUUUUCAGAAAAUUAAUUAAAUGGAAUUAAAACAUGUCAUGACCCAGAACCUGCCUCAAGCCCAUGACAAUCGCCGCGACGUCCCGAUUGACACUCAUUAUCCGGAAUGCCAAUCGGAACCCCGCAAGGCUUACAUAUCAGUUUCUUUCCUUUCCUAUGAGCAAUCAUUGUUAAAUAUCGAGUUUUUAGAGAAUAUAUACUAUUUUAGAUCAAAAACAAUCAAAAUAAAAUUUUCGCCACACAAGGGUAUUUUGAUCAUUUUUUCUCAAAAAUUUUGAAACUGGGUAAACGUAAUAUACAAGUAACAAAACACAUAAUUCAUAUUCAAAAUGAGUUUAAAAGUCUAAAAUCUUCAUUUAAAACAAAAUUACGGUUAUUUGAAUAUAAUAAGAAAAUAAAAGAAAUAUUAAGGAAAAUAUUCUAUUUUCUUAUAAAACAAUAUUUAUAGAGUUAUACGUGAAUAAUUUUUAUAGCGUAAAAGCUAAAUAAAUUUAUACAUACUGAAAUACAGUAAGCCAAAAUAUUUAAUUUAAUUUACAAUAACAAGAGGGCCCCCGAAUAAACAAAAGUAAAGAGGACUGUGAACCUACGGUUUGGAAAAUGCAGAUCCAAUGGUAGUCCUCGAUGAGAUCAGCUAUCUACAGUCUAUACUGAACCUGAAAUGGGUGGAAAGGAGUUGGGUGAGAUUUUGCAAUCCCAAUGAGUAAACAGACAUUAUCAUAAAUAUCUAAAGGCGAGUAAAAUGGAGGCAAGUUUAAACAACAAAUUUCAACCCAUUUCAUAAUGUUUUCAAUUUAUUUCUUAAACCAUAAAAUAUUUGUAAUUUACCAAAACAGUUGUUAAGGCUUAUGUCUUUUAUUAAAACAAGGCUCAAGCCAAAACUAAUCCUCGGGGAUACCUUGGCCGAGGCAUCUAACCGAGUCCGCCAAGGGUGUUAAAAUAUUCACACGUGAAACACAUUUUUAUUUUUAAAACCAGCCGUUCCUUGGCGUUGGCCGAGUUACACAUUCACGUGGGGGUUCGACGUGAAGUGAGCUCUAAUACUACCCCGGGAGUUACCCUCCUCGCCUCUACAACCGGAGUAACUAUAUAACUGGGUUUACCGUGCCCCUCUAAUAGGCAGUCCACGGAAACCCGUCACUGCAGUGACUAACCCACCAAUUUUAAUAAAAUUUCGACAGUAUAACGUGGCUUUUAUUUAUUUAUCCAGCCUGCAUAGUAAAACCAAUUACAUAAAUUUCCCAAUGCAUUCACAAAAUAUAGCCACAUAUACUCAUUUCUCAUAAGCCAUUCCUAGGAAAAUAUAUAUUUUUCAAGUCAAUUUGUAGCCUCCAAUUACUCAAUUUCAUAAUCAAUACAAUAUAUUUUUAUUUGUCACAUUUAUUCCUAAAACAUCAAAAAUCCCGUUUUAAUCUCGUUCUCAUUUCAUAAAAUACAUAAAGGGCAUUUAAAAUAAACUCUAGAUAAUUUACAAUAAUAAUAAGUUUACUCACCGUUUGUACAAACUAAAAGCUUUCUAAGCGCCCCGAUCACUACUCGUCGGGUACGACUUCUUUGCCUUUUCCGGAAGGCUCUCCUCCUAGACACAUUACAAAAAUUUACACAAUUCAUCACAUUGAUGCUAAAUCACUAUAUAAUUAACUUAAAUCCUAUACUAAUGCAUGGUAUGAAAUGCAAUAGCCUAAAACGGCUUAAACGCGGUAUUAACCUAUUUUUGGCACUUUGCCCGAUAAAUUGCUAACGCGCUCCAUUUUAGCUCUAAAUCAUCCCAUUCUCUCUCCAACAUUUCUAACCAUUAAAUAUCAGCCAAUAACCUUCUAAAAACAACAAAAUCAGCUCACUCCCUUCCUUGGAAAAUUCGGCCAAAAAUGGGACAUUAACUCGGUUAAUUUUCUACUUUGUUUUUCUAUCACGUUUAAUCGUUUUUCAUCAUUUUCUCUUCAUUUCCCUUAGAAUAAAAUCAAUUCAUCAUCAUUGUACAGCAUUGAGCAUCCAGCCAAGAGUGGGUAUUGUGAAAAUUUAAUGAUUUCUUGCCCAAUUUAAUUUCUAAACACAUUUAACUAACUAAAACUAUCAAUUUAACUAAAAAUCAAAACCUAAAAAUUUCAAUUUCUCUCCCCUAGAAUUUCGUCCAGCCCUUGAUAUCACUUUUUGAUCUCUCUCCUCAAGCAUGCUAAAUGGAAAUAAAGGCAUAGGAAAGGUAGAAAUCAAGCUAAAAUCGAAAAAUCUUACCGUUAGACGCGUAAACGGUCGAAAACCGCGAAUUUCCCUUUGAAUUUUCUUGUUUCUCUUUGGUUUUUCUUUUUUUCUUCCUUUCCUCUCUAUUUCCUCUCUUGUUCUUCCUUAUGGCCGGCCAGCACUUAAAAUUUGGGUUUAAAUGGGCUGACUUUUCAUUAAAAUAAUAUUAUAUCAUUAAAAAAUGCCACAUGUCACUUUCCCAUUGGCCCAUUUUUAAAAUUUCAUCCAUUUGUUUCCAAAUUUUCACCAUACACUUGUCUCAUAUAUUCAUAGCUUAGAUAAAAUUCUCAGACUCAUCCAAAGUCUCGGUGGAGUAAUUUUUGAAAUUUACACUUUUGCCCCCGUAAAAGUCAAAAAUUACAUUUUUGCCCCAAAAAUUGAAAAAUUGCCCAUAGACAUAUUUUUCAUCCCUUAUACUCAUACCAUUCUCCAAUUUGUCAAAUUUGAUCUAAAUUCUCUCAAAAUCUCAAAUUUUGUCCGUGGGUGGCAAAAUUACGAUUUUACCCCUACACUCCAAAAAUCACUAGAAUUAAACUUUUUCACUUCCUAUCAUUAAAUUAUACUCCAAAUAGUUAAUCUUGGUCAAAAAUUUCACUCCAUGGUCAAAUUAUUAUCUUAGGUGGCAAAAUGACGAUUUUGCCCUUGAAUAUCAAAAUUUCCAAUUUUACCCCAAAUGAACCCUCAAAGUCCGAACAAUCAUUUUUAGUCAUUCCUGGAUUAUAAAAUAUUAAAUUUCAUCCUACAAUUCUUAUUUGAACUAGUUCGAGGUUAAAUCAACUCAAGUGUACCGUUAGGUACGAUAUCGGGUUUCGUUUUUUCUUAGGUGCUUUCUUAGCAUAAUAACAUGCUACUCAGUGCAUGUAUGUCAUGACAUGUAUUUAUAGGGUCGGGUUUUACAAAACAAGUACUAAAUUAACUAGCAUAAAUUAAAUUUAAUUGAGAAAGACAAUAAACGAAAGACUAGGAUUAUGGGUUCAUCCAACACUUCAUUUAAUACUAACUUCUCUUAUUAUUUAUCUUUCCUAGGUGGUUUUAUUGACCUAGAAUCCAAAGCUAUGUACAAGUCUCCAUCAAGAUGCUUGCACAAAUACCCACCUUAAUUACUUCACUAUAGGUCUAAAAGAAUCAAUUAAAUUAAGUUCAUUAAGCUAGUGUCCUAAUUUGGCUAUGUAUGAAAAUUGGCGUAUGUCUACCCGAAUCGCAAAUUAGAUCAUCGGAGUGAUGUGAACAUAUACUAUUUAAAUCUUAGUCUAAUCUAAAAUCUCUAUGUCCAAUCCUAAUUAGAUUCACAAGUCAAUUAAUUAUUGAUCAAGCGAUUAAAGGCAUUAAGAACAUAUUUGAAUAAGCAAAACUAUACCCAUUAAUGAUAAAUAAAAGAAAAACUAAUAUUCAAACUACAUGUUGAAAUCCACCAUAAUCCUAGAAAAACAAAUUAGUUCAUAAUAUCUAAAUAAAACAAUAUCCAAAGAAAUGUAGCCAUGAAUUCGAACCAAAAAAAUAAGUAUAACACAAAAGAGAGAAAUAAACUAAUGUUAAAGCUUUGUUGAUCUUGAAUCUCUCUCAAUUACUCUUGAUCUUUUACUUGAUUCUCAGCUCAAAAUCUCUAGAAAAGCUAUUGCCAUUCUCCCCCUUGAAUACUCUAAAAAAGUCCUUUAAAUAUGUUCAAGUUAACCUAAUUUCCAUAUUUCUGUCAAUAAUUUUAUAUUUGGAAAACAAUGUGGCGCCGUGGAGUAAUGGUUGUCUUUGUGGCGUCGCCAUGGCUUUCUUUGUGGCUGCGUGGUGCUCUAGCCUCGGGAGUUUGUAUGGUACACUCCAAUUGUCCAGCACCACAGCUAUGAUCUUCCUAUCAUUGGGACCCUAACUCCCUCAGUGCCACAGCUUUAAGUAACUCAAGGCUACAACCUCUAACCAACAUGCUGCCUUCUGUCGAAUUGCAACCAUCCAUCAUCUUCUAACACGAUUUCCACCUUGAUCAGAUCCGAACUAGAAAAGAGGUAAACAUGAAAGUUCUAUCCCGUUUUCUUAUCUUUCCAAUGGAUCAAGAAUCUCAUUAAUUGGACUUUUUUGCUAAAGUUAUCUUUGAAAUACUACAACAUGUACGAAUGAAGCCUUUACCAUACUUAUGCGAUUUUAACUCAAAUACACAUUUCUCAUCAAAUAUCCUACAAAAAACCAUGAGAGAAAUCAACGAUAACUCUUUUUAUAGUAAAUUAAAGCAAAAUAAAGUAAAAUUACACUAAAAUAACUUAAAAUAACUAUUUAACAUGUAAUCUAACUUAAACUAAAAAAACACUUAAAAUGCUAAAAUCCAAACCUACAACCUCAAAGAUCUAGCUACUUAAGCCCCUCAAAAUGUGUCAAAAUAACUCUAUAUAAUAGAGUUAUCAGGAGAUAAUCCUCAACAACUGUGCUAGAAAACUAGAUAGCAAAAUUUUGCAAGUGCACGGGUCGUUUCAAGUGGAUAAGUGUAAGUAGAGUGUCGAAUUCCCAAGAGUAUUGUCUUGUGUGGACUUGCAUUAAUUAUUGAGUCUUGCUUCCUUUGCCUAAGCCAAUCUCACAAAAAGAUUAAAGAAUUUUAUAGAGAAAAUCAAUAACAAAAGCCUAGGGUUCCUAACUUCUUUUGGUCAUUUUCACUUAGGUUAAUGCUUUCUCUUUGGUUUAACUUAUCUUCAACAACUUGUUAAUCAGGAACACUUAACUAUCUACUUGUUAUGUCUAAGUCAUGUAAACACAUUAUUACUAAUCGCUUACCAUAAUAGAUAAGAUAAUUAAUAAUAACGCCUUAGGAUUAAGUUUCGUUAAGCGAUUAUGUCACACCCAUUUUGUGGUGAGGGGCAGGCCAACUAGAUGGCCAAGGAUUGAGGCUCGAGAGUAGGCCCGAGGCGUGCGAGGCAGUCAUUGCCUACUAUUGGAAACAGUGCCUAGGGUGCAUUAGGAGGGUCUAGCAGGGCUCGAAACAGCCCCUAGCCAUUAGGAAUGGGCUUGUAACAUCUCUAAGGGGUUUAAGGCUUAUAAAUACACCUUGAGUCCCCUCAUUUAAGCUUAAUGACUCAUGUACUUGAAUUCUUUGCAAUAAAAGCUCUUUGUCUUUUUACUUGUGCUUGCCUUAAAUGAUCCUAACUUGUUCAAUUGAGAAGGCUGUUUGCCUUUCUAAGAGCCUUUAAGUAAGGCAAAGGCAAGGCCUCAUGGGUCAAGAGAAAACCCUAUGACAAUUACACAUGACUAAUAGAUAUAGUGGUCAUUACACUUGCUCUCACCCAAGAGUAAUCUAUUCUACUAAUUCAUAUGUCAUUUUCUUUUAGUUUGGAUUCCUAGAUUCUUAUUCUACUUCAUCAGGACUCCCUUUAAAUUCCCCUGUAAGGUGCAUUAAAGCUACUAAUUGCCUAAUUAAUUCCCUUAGUCUGGAUUUUGAAAUUCCUAUGUCUAGUUCAUUAAGAAUCCCCCUAAUUCCACCUUGAGGUUUAUUAGAGUUACAAUGUAUCACAUUUAUAAGGUGAAAUAAAAGGGAGCAUUAAGCACAAAGAAAAUGAACUAAGUUAUUUAAGUUUGCAUUUUUUUUACCAAAGUGAAUUUAUUUUACCUAAGCUACUUAACCAAAUUCCAUUAAACACCAUAGCUAAAAUUAUUUAGCUACUCAUAUUUUUAUUAUGAACAGAAUUUAAAGAGUGAAAUAAAAUAACAAACAUGCUGAAAAUUAAAAAGAAAGAAAGAAUACUUUUAAGCUUAAUACCGAAAUCACCUUAUAAUUAAGUUAGGCUCGGUCAACAAAGUAACAAGAUUUCUAGGAUUAAAAAUCUUAUCACUUUGCCAACUUCACUAAGCUAUAAUGAAGCUCCAAUGGUGGAUAGAAAAUUGCAUGAAAAGAUAAAAAAAAUAAACAGAAUUUUAUUAAUUGAAAACUGAAAAAAUGCUACGAAGAAUAAGCAAGGAGGCCGAGCUAAAAAUCUUUCUCCAAAUUAACUCCUUUUUUGAAAGAACUUAAGUUUAAGUGGAAAGUUAUCAAAGUAAAAGAUACAAAUAGUAAAUGAACUAAAAAAAAUUGUAGAAAAAUAAUAAAAAAUAAAAAACAUAUAAUUGUUAUGGAACUUAAAACUACACCAGUUGGAAAUUCAAAGCCAAUUUCUACUACACAAGAAAAUAAAAAAAACGCUUGCUAGAAAAUUACAAAGAAACAUAAACUAAUAUCCUAAAAAGUGCAGAAAAGAAAGAAAAGAAGGCUUGCUUGAAGAGCUAGACUGGCUGGGUAUUUAUAGCCAAAAGGAAGGAGAGUUUUAGCUUAAUUCUUCCUCCUUUACGAUUCAGAAUUCAAGUUUUCAGCUCACUUGAUCACUUGGUCAGAUUUCAAGCUGAUUUUUAUCUGAUUUCAAACUUGAAUUUUGAGUGAAAAUUGGCUCCUUCAAGCUUCAAAUUGGCCAGCCAAUCCUAGGAUGAAUUUGGCAUGAAAUGUGUCCAAGUGCUACCUUGAAUUCAAAUUGCGAAAGCUUGAAUUUUUCUCUCCUCAAUUUUCAAACCAUUUCAGUUGAAAUUCCCCUUCAUUAUCUUCAUGAUUUUUUGCCUUUUAAUCCAAUGAAAAUCAGCUUAAAAAUCAUCCAAAAUUUGGCUUGAAAUUUAAACUCUUUAGGAUUUGAAUUUAGGCCCCAACGUAGUUUAUUAGUUGAGGACUCUUCCCAUUUGAAUUCUUUGAUAUCUCCAGAAAAUCCAUUAGAUUUGCAACCCUCUUAGACAUUUUUAAUUUGGACAGCCCACUCUUGCAUGGAUUUUGCAUGAACUUGUCAAAAAUUUUGCUAAAAGGUGAUGAUUUUGCAUGCAUGCAGCUUCAGGCAACUUUACCUUUCCUUGGUUUAACAUCCAUAAUUUUUGACUCCCAGCUCAGAAUUGAAUGAGUCCAAGUCUUGCCGAAAGCUAACUUGAUGAUAAACAAAUUUGUUCUGCAAGGUCUUCCUUUAGAUUUUGAUGCUAAGGUAGUCAAAUUUGGGUUAGAAGUUAACCAUUGUGCAUGGCUUUCAUGAAAAUUCAAAAUUUAAGCCUUAUUUCCCUACAUAAAUUUAAAAAAUACAUAAAUUCACAAUUUUUCAAAUUAUUUACAAGCGAAGACAUUUUAAUAAAAAUGGGCUAAAAAUGAAUUAUUUUAUUUGAAAAGUAUGCAAAAAUCAUAUGAAUUAGGGCUUAAAAAUGCUAUAUAAAAUAUAGUUAUCAAAAUCCACCAUAAAAACUACUUUUUCAAAGGAUCAAGCAUAACCUUUACAAUGCACACUGCCUUUUAUGGAUCAAGCAUAACUAUUGCCUUUUCAUGGAUCAAGCAUAGCCAUUGCCUUUUCAAGAUUCUAGUACAACCUUUAUACCGCUACCUUUUGAAGGCAAAGGUAUAACUGUUUUUCUUUUUUACAAUCUUGAAUAGUAAGGAUACCUCUAAAAGGUGAGUUUUGCUAAGUAAGUACAAAAUUGGAAAAGUAUAAUAGUAAUAAAGAUGAUUACAAAAGAUAGGAGUAAAGGCUCAAAGAAAUCAUCGCACAAGAAAGCUUGAUGGAAGAAUGUGAAUUGCUUGCUCUAGCUUGGUUUCUCUCUCUUUUUUUCCCUCUUUUUUCUUUUUUUUUUUCUUCAUUUGGCUUGAUUCUUGAUCAAAUGAUAGUUUUCUCUACUCUUCACAAAUCUAAAAUGUGUUGAAGGAGUCUUUUUUAUGCUUAGAAAAAGUUUGAAGCCGUUGGGGAUGAUUUGGUGGAAAAGCUAGCCAUUUUUCUUACUUUUUUAAUGUCAAUGACUACUUUUGGAGUCUAAGAAUUGAAUUUUUCAUCUCGACAUAUAAAUUAUUCUUGGUCUAGAGCUUUAUGUUUGUUGAGAAUCGAUUAUUGUAUUCUUGAGUAGUCAAUUCUUUUUGUCUCUAGAGCAUUCUAUUUUUUGAGAAUCAAUCAAUGCAUUCUUGAGACAUUAAUUCUUCUCAUCCCAAAUUUUCUAAGAAUUGGUCUUUGCCCCUCCACAAGUCCAUUCGUCUUUCACUUUAGGCACCAAAUUUGAAAUUCAAAUUUGCUUUUGCUCGCUCCACCCUUAUCCAUUCUUCAAUAUUUUCUUCUUCUCCAAGUUUAUGAUUUUUCUCUUUUUGUAGCUUUGGGAAUCAAUCACUUGAUGCUUGAAAAGUCGAUUCUUCCUCUUCCAAUGGCUUUUGCAUCUUCAAGAAUUGAUGUUUCCUUUUCAAGAAGUUGAUUCUUUAUAGCUGGAACUUGAGAUUUAAAGUAUUCAAAAUAUUUUUCUUUACACAAACAACUUCAAACAACAAAUUCAUAGAUCAUUCAAGUAAGGAAACACUUAGGCACUUCAAAAGCAUUUAAGGAUUACUCAAACAAGAAAUUUUGAUCAUUUUUGUCGUUUCAAAACUCUAAUAAUCAUUUUAAAGCUAAUAAAGCUAACAAAUUAAAACCAAAAGGGGGUGAAUUGGGUUUUUUGAAAAAUUUUUGCAAUCUUAAUGAACGAUUGAUUUUCUUUUGAAACAAGAUUGAUAAGUAAGGGUAGAGAAAAUGAAAAUCAAAGACAUAAUAUUUUUAUAGAGGUUCGGUCUCCUUGUUUAUGUUCUCUCCCUUAGCUCAUUAAGGAAUUUCAAAUCCAUUAUGAAAAGUACAUUUUCAAGGUUUGGCAUAACCUUUACAAUACCUUUUCACAAGAUCAAGUACAACCUUUUCAAUACCUUUUCCAAGGAUCAAGCACAACCUCACUACCUUUUACUUAGGCUAAAGUAUAACCUUUACAAUCUACCUUUCAAUGGCUAAGGUACAAUAAAUGAGUAGCAUUAAAUGUCUCUUAAAAGUUGAUGAGCUAGGUGUUUAAGCUUGAAAAGAAUGAAUAUAAGAAAAUAUCAAAAAAUCAGCACAAUAAAUUCUUUGAAGGAAGACUUCAAUGAAGUAUGAGAAAUGAGUAAAUGAAGCAAAUGAUCUUAAAGCUUUUCUUAGGUGUAGAGAUGUUUUUAAGAGUUUUCUUGUGCUUUAAAUUAGGUGGGAACCUUCCUUUUAUAGCCUUUCUAUCAAUUAGAAUUGUUAGAAGUCAAAUAAAGAAGAAAUUAGUCUUUGUAAGCAUUAAAUGCAGGUCUGUCGCGACUUAAGGAUCAAACUUGGUCAUUGGGGAGUCGAUCCUAGCUUCAUGUUCUUCUUUAAUUUACACUAUAGGAUCAAGCUUUUGAAGCAUGGGUGUUGAUUGUACCAUCACAUGUUUGAAUUCUUUCUGCCAUUCUUCUUCAAGGAUAGAGCUUGGAAGUGUGAGAGUCAAUCUUUCAAACUUCUAGUAACCCUAUUUUUUUCCUGUUUUCUCUUAGGAUCGAGCUUGCCUUGUUGGGUUGUCAAUCCUCUAAGCUUUCAACAGUUUAUUUGUAUUCUGCCUCAUCUUAGGUUCAAGCAUCAAGCCACGAAGGGACGAUUCUAAGUGUUUCUAGUAGCUACCUUAUUUCUGUCUCAAGUUAGGAUCGAGCUUUGUGUUAAAAGGGGUCGAUCUUGUGAACUCUAGAAGCUUUGCUCCACAUUCUGUUUUGCCUAGGAUCGAGCUUCUAGCUAACAGAGGUUAAUCCUGCAAUUGUCCAAAAGCUAUGUUUACUUUUUGUUUCCCUCUAAGAUUGACCUUUUAUCAUGAAGGGGUCGAUCCUCAAAGUUGAAAACUUAACAUCUUGAAAACUUUUGAUUCUAAAACAUUUUCAAACUUUUGUCAAACAUGUUAUAAGACUUUAGAAGUUGAUCAAGUGAAUUAAAACAUUUCAAAUAUUUAUGUGCAAGGCUUAAUCAAUUUAAUUUUGUCAAAUCAAAACAUAAUUUAAUUUUAAAGCUGAUAAUAAAUAAAAGUAAAGCAAUGACUGACCAAUUGAUAUACAGACUCAUGAACCACAAACCCCAAACCUCUGUUUUGUGAAGGAUUUUGGGUUUAGUUUGACAUGUCAAGGCAACGUCAACACCUUAACAAUCAAUUUGGACGACAUUAGGGGGAGGAACUCAAUUGCACAAAAUCUCAAAAUAUAAGGACUAAAUUUGUCACGACCCGGAACUCCCAUCAGACCCGUGACAACUGUCACGAUAUCCCGAUAGGCACUUAUUUCCCCGAAUGCCGAUCGAAACCUCGCAAGGCUUAGCAUCAUCUUCUGCAUCUCCCCAGUGAGCGACAGUUAUUAAAUCUCGCAUUUCAAGAAAUCAUAAGUCGUUUCCAAAUCAAAGAAAUAAAAUAUUAUUUUCUAGCUCACAGGGGUAUUUUUAUCAUUUUUCUUCAAAUAUAUUGAAAAUCCACCAAAAACAUGGUGUAAAAGCUAAAUAUGUUCAUACACACUUUAAAUCAGAUACCUAAAGUAUAAAAUUACUUUUACAGUGACACGUUGGUCCCCAACUAACCAAGAAAGUGUAGGGCUAUGAACCCUUACUUUCUAGGAUACAACUCCGAGAUUAAUUCUCGUCUUAAUCAACUAUCAACAAACUGUCCUGAGCCUGAAAAAGAAUGGAUAGGAAGAGGGGUGAGAUUAUAUAAUCCUAGUGAGUAAACAAUUACCAUCAAAAGCAUCUAAAGCCGAGUAGAUGGAGACAAUAUAAAAACGUUAUAUUUCAAUAAUGUUCAUAACGCAAAAUUCGUUUCAAUCUAUACCAACAAUUUCUUUUCAUCAAAAUUUCCCUGACUUAUGAGUUUCUUAAACUUGGCCCCUGCCAGAAUCAUUCUCGCGAGUACCUUCGUCAAGGUAUCCCACUGAGACCGCCAAGGUUGUUAAAAAGUCCCAUACCCAUAAACAUGUUUUCGCAUCUGACACACAGCCGUUCCUUGGCGUUAGCUGAGUUUCACUCUCAUGUGGUGACCCGAACGUGAGGUGCACUGAAAUCUUACCUUAGGAGAUACUUCUUCCAACAUCUCCUCUCGGAGGUAAAUAUAUAAUUGGGUUACCGUGCCCCUCUCAUAGGCAGUCCAUGGAAACCCCCACCACUACAGUGACCGUUUAAUAUACCACCAGACCCAUAACAUUUUCAGUAGCAUAAUAUGGUGAAUAAAAUGUAAUCCAGUCUACCGAAACCAAUCCAGAACUGUUCAUAUAUUUCAUGCCAACCCCAAAAUUUUAGGCAUCAUGCUACCAUAGUGUCCUAAGCCACAAUUUCAAUAACAUAUAAAAUCAUAAAUUUAACACAGUCUCCAUAUACUCAAUUUUUCCAAAACAAUAUUUGAUUUCAAAACCAGUAUAAAUAUCAUUUUUAUUAAAAAUAUAUUUUAAUUAGAAAACAUAAUAUUUUAUAAUUUAACUCACCAUUCAAUAAAAACAUCAAACAAGUAUAAUUACUCUAGAUAUUUAAGACGAUAAAUUGUCCAAUCACAGUUCUAGGAGUCGAUGUACUCCUAGUCCCAGUCUUCAAGCACAAUCUCUGUACUUUUACCAAUGUAAUUUGCUUACCACCUAUCCAUAAUGUACAAUACAUAAUUCACCACAUUGAUGCUUGACCAUUAUAAAAUCAAUUCAGACUCGGUGUAUAUGCAUGAUAUGAUAUGCAACUUAUCCGAUUAUCGCUUAAAUGCGGUGCUGACCUAAUUCGGCCUAUUAAUCGAUUAAAUGACAAUUGUGUCCGAUUUGGCUCCAGAUUGCUCCGUUUCAUUUCUAGUACCUCAAUUCACCAAACAUUAUUCAAAUAGCACCAAUUUCAGCAUCAAAACCCUCCCAUUUCUUCAUGGAAAAAUUCAGCCAUUACAGUGCACUAACACCGUGAUUUUUCCUACAUAAUUUUCUCACCAUUAUUCAUCAUUUUUGAAGCCAUUUCUCUUGAAAUAAUAACAAUCCAUCACCCACACACAUCAAGGAAGAUUCGGCCAAUGAUGAUUCAUGGGAAAAAUGGAUUCUUUUCUUGUUGUUUUGUUUCUAAAUAUGCUAAAUUAACUAAAAACAGUAACAUAUCUUAAAAUCAAAUCAAUCCAACAUCUUUCUCUCUCCUUACCCAUUUUUACCAACCACGAAUUUAUCAUGAAAACAUGUAAUUUAAGCAUGGAAAAUAAGGAGAAAUGCUCAAGGAAAAUAGGUUUCAAGCUUAAGUUGAAAAAUCCUACCUUUUUCACUUGUUUUCCUUGAUUUUCCACACUUUUUCUCUUGAAAUUCUUCACCUAGGGUUUGUUCUUCCUUUCUUUCCCUCUCUUCCU
rnacentral:lncRNA from 1 species